rnacentral:rRNA from 1 species
GACGAACGCUGGCGGCGUGCUUAACACAUGCAAGUCGAACGCUGAAGCUCAGCUUUUGUUGGGUGGAUGAGUGGCGAACGGGUGAGUAACACGUGAGUAACCUGCCCCCUUCUUUGGGAUAACGCCCGGAAACGGGUGCUAAUACUGGAUAUUCACUGGUCUUCGCAUGGGGGUUGGUGGAAAGGGUUUUUCUGGUGGGGGAUGGGCUCGCGGCCUAUCAGCUUGUUGGUGGGGUGAUGGCCUACCAAGGCCUUGACGGGUAGCCGGCCUGAGAGGGUGACCGGUCACAUUGGGACUGAGAUACGGCCCAGACUCCUACGGGAGGCGGCAGUGGGGAAUAUUGCACAAUGGGCGCAAGCCUGAUGCAGCGACGCCGCGUGAGGGAUGGAGGCCUUCGGGUUGUGAACCUCUUUCGCUCAUGGUCAAGCCGCAACAAUGGUUGUGGUGAGGGUAGUGGGUAAAGAAGCGCCGGCUAACUACGUG